CAUGCGAGUCUUUGAACUCAUUGCGCCCGAGGCUAUCCUGGCUAAGGGCACGCCUGCCUGGGCAUCCACG
rnacentral:rRNA from 1 species